CAGGUGGAGUUGUGGUGAUGGUGAUGCCAAAUGGAGAGGGUGAAAGCAGAGGUUUUGAUGGGGUCGGUAGUUGUGUGCCGCAGAGUUAUGGCAGCUGGUUGAAGAUGUGGUGAUGGUGAUUUGCUGUUGAAUCUCAGUGUGCUCGAAGAUGAGUAGGGUUCAACACCUCUAUAUCCCCUGCCCAUGUAGAUGAUGAUGAAGAAUCCAUCUUUCAUUAGACUUGUUUCUUUCAGGGUAGAGGUCAGUAGCAUGAAUAAUGUUUGAUGGUAUCCACAAUUACAUCAAUUCCAAAAAGAGCUCAAGCUAAGUUUAUCUUAUGUUUUGUCAAACUGGUUCUCAUGUGACUACAAGGCUUAUAGACGAUAACUAAAACUUUGGGAAGUCAUCAUUGUAAUAUUACAGGUAUUGCUAUUUCUUGCUCCCAAGCAAGUUGUUAAUUUUAA